rnacentral:lncRNA from 12 species
UUCUGCCUAAUAUCAUAUUAUUUUUAUCUAAAAUAAAGAAUUCUAGAACUUUGAGUAAAAUAGAUUGUUCUAAGUAUAUUGUCAUUCCUUUGCUCUCAUGGCUACCCCAUUGAAUCUGUGAUCUUCAGAGAAGCCUGUUUCCACUUGCUAAAGAAGUAUCCUUGAUGUUGUUCUUUUGUUGUUAGACAAACGGACAGUCCUAAAGAAAUGGGGAAAAAGAGACUCUGCAAAGAUUCUGCAGUUCAAGGAAAAAAGUUUGGACAGAACAGAAUCCAGAGCUGCUGAAAGUGUUUAGCCAUGCAAUUCUCUACCAAUUGCAAAAUACUCCAUUGAUGUUUGCCAUGAGUGCCUCCUUCAAAAUGUAUUCUGGAAAUGCUUUUGUAACCAGGUAGGAGGGAUUUUAGAGUCUUUGCUGCGUGCAAGUUGGAGAAGUACAUCUUCUCUAAUGAUGGCCG